UGGGGAAUAUUGCACAAUGGGCGCAAGCCUGAUGCAGCAACGCCGCGUGAGGGAUGACGGCCUUCGGGUUGUAAACCUCUUUUAGUAGGGAAGAAGCGAAAGUGACGGUACCUGCAGAAAAAGCACCGGCUAACUACGUGCCAGCAGCCGCGGUAAUACGUAGGGUGCGAGCGUUGUCCGGAAUUAUUGGGCGUAAAGAGCUCGUAGGCGGUCUGUCGCGUCUGCUGUGAAAACCCGAGGCUCAACCUCGGGCCUGCAGUGGGUACGGGCAGACUAGAGUGUGGUAGGGGAGAAUGGAAUUCCUGGUGUAGCGGUGGAAUGCGCAGAUAUCAGGAGGAACACCGAUGGCGAAGGCAGUUCUCUGGGCCGUAACUGACGCUGAGGAGCGAAAGCGUGGGGAGCGAACAGGAUUAGAUACCCUGGUAGUCCACGCCGUAAACGUUGGGCGCUAGAUGUGGGGACCAUUCCACGGUUUCCGUGUCGCAGCUAACGCAUUAAGCGCCCGCCUGGGGAGUACGGCCGCAAGGCUAAAA
rnacentral:rRNA from 1 species